GCCUCCAGUGGUGCAGUGGGCCAGUGUGUUGGGCUGUUAACCAGAAGGUUGGUGGUUCGAGCCCACUCAAGGACA